GUGCUCACCUUCAGCAGAACAUAUACUAAAAUUAGAACAAUACAGAGGUUAGCGUGGCCCCUGUGCAAGGAUGACACACAAAUUCAUGAAGCAUAUUAAAGACAU